UAAUACGUAGGUGGCAAGCGUUGUCCGGAUUUACUGGGCGUAAAGAGCGCGCAGGCGGUGCGAUCAGUCGAAUGUGAAAGCCCCCGGCUCAACUGGGGAGGGUCAUUCGAUACUGUCGGACUCGAAGGCAGGAGAGGGAAGCGGAAUUCCCGGUGUAGUGGUGAAAUGCGUAGAUAUCGGGAGGAACACCAGUGGCGAAGGCGGCUUCCUGGCCUGUUCUUGACGCUGAGGCGCGAAAGCUAGGGGAGCAAACGGGAUUAGAUACCCCGGUAGUCCUGGCCCUAAACGAUGAAUGCUUGGUGUGGCGGGUAUCGAUCCCUGCCGUGCCGAAGCUAACGCAUUAAGCAUUCCGCCUGGGGAGUACGGUCGCAAGGCUG
rnacentral:rRNA from 1 species